CCGAAUUGCUCCUGUAAUUCGCUCUGGAUAAGAGCGUCUGCUAAAUGACUAAAA
rfam:Salmo salar isolate Sally breed double haploid chromosome ssa15, whole genome shotgun sequence.